GCCCCUAUAGCUUAACGGAUAAAGCUCCGCAGUCCUAACGCGGCGAUAGAGGUCCAAUUCCUCUUGGGGGCA
rnacentral:tRNA from 3 species